CACCUAAAUACCUUUCUGAAGAAAAAAAAAGAGGGGGGUGUGAAGGGGGAGGGAGAGGCAGCUGGCUGCGUGCUCCAGUUUCAUUGGUUACCCUCUCUACUAUCUGCCAGCGCUUACAUAGGCUGCGUUUGGACACGGGGAGCCGAGAGGCCAGCCGCUGUGAACAGCAGAGACGUAACAGGUGACAGCUAUGUCCAAGGACACAGCAUGGACAUCAACUGCAGGACGUUCAUUGAUGGGCUUCCCCUUGCUUAGUCAAUGACGUGCGUUUUCACCACCUAAAAUCACAUCACCCAGCAUGAAGGAAACAACACUUCUGGCUCAGGAAGUCUGCAUGCAUCUGCGCUGCCACUGAAAGCACUGCUGCUGUGCCCAGAUACAUGCUUCUUGCUCAGUUCAUCUUGCAAAAAUGAAGAGGCUCAGAUGGUGGGUGUGGUGACAGGUCAUGGUAUUUUGUACGAGUUUUUCAAAGCGGUUGGGUACUUCCAGGACAGAAGCAUGAUCCCUGUCCCCUAGUCCCUGCAGUGAAACAGUGCUGACAGCUUACAAAGUACCAGAGGAUGGGAUAGCGGGAUGCAGUACAAUCUAGGAUACUAGUUAAUGUGUCUACAAUACACGUAAGCAUAAGCAGGAUAUCCUGUGCUCUGCAUAAUUUGCAAUUUGUGUUCCAAAUUUUGUACAUGCUACCAAUGACUCAGUUCUGCACAAAUCUUGUAUUAAUAAAUGUAAAAACAACUGCAUGAGAGAUGUGUCAAUAACAAUCCUGGUUCUUGUUUGAGAAAAUAAAUGAAAAUACCUGGAAAUUCAAGUCUACGAGUACAGCAGGUAUAUAGGAAAAUGUGAGGUAGAAUUUUAUCCCUGAACUCUAAUAGAAAAGAAAGUUGACAAAACAAGCAUAUUCCAUACUCUCAAAUAUAUUUUCUAAUCUCAACUUUUCAAUGUGAUACAGUUUUACUUUAAUGAAGUUUCUGAGGUAAGAGAACUGAGAACACCAUCCAUAGACUCCGUUCUUAUCUAGAUCCAAGUCUCAGGGUGUUUUGUGGUAGAAGAAUAACCCUUCUAAAAGAAGUGCACAAAGAAGGGUACAAAUGGAAGUAAACUAGUAGCAAGAGAUCAUAUCAAAUAUCUGGGAUCAGUGGCUCAAAUGCCACUGAAGGAUAUAACUAAGAGUAGCAAAUUCUUGUUGCCACCAAUGACUGCUUUAAGCAGUAGGUAGCUUUGCUGGUGCACAAGAGAUUUAGUCCUAAGUAACAAACGAGAUCUGAUUUAAGAAGUAAUUACAGCUGACUCCCUCUGUCACAGUAGCUGCACGAUGGUGAAGAUUAGUGUAGUGAUCUUAACUGCAGAAAGAUUGUCCAAAGACAUAAAACCAUGAAACCAAAGACAAAAUAUUUAAGAAAAUAAAAUCCUUAAAAUGAACUUGGUAACUAUUUGAAUACACCACAGCAGAAUGGUGAAAUCAGCAAACAUGUUGCGUUAGAUAAUUUAUUCCAGUAAUAAGUCUAGCAAGAAUUAACAGCAGCCCCAGUGAUGCCAGGAGGAAUCGUCACGAACAGCGGCAGCUGAAUUCUGUAGCUGAUGUGUGUAUCAGAGGGACUCUGUGGGGAAAUGUAAAAUUCAAGUGGCCAGAAAUAAAUUCAAAAGAAGAUAAAUAUUUGGAAUCAAAGACCUGCAGCCGUUGAGAGAUGCAUUAAGCUGUCUUGAGAAAAUGGAUCAAAGUCAGCAGCAGGUCUAACCCCUCUGCAGAUGUUAGUGCUUACAAGGAGCAGGCCAUCAGGACAUGAAUUUCUUUUUGCAGAUGAGGAGGGCAAGUCCCUGUCAGAAACUGGCAUGGAAGUAUUUAGUAUUAAAAUAAAAAAGCUAAUUUAAGUUACAAGUUUCUGUUUCUUUGACACUGUAACAACAGUAGCUGGAAUGAAAAAAACUGCAGGAGCUCAUACUCUUUGCUUCUUGCUCCAAGGAACAGAGAGUCUCUGACAAGUAUUCUUCUAAUCUGUUCUUAGAAACCUGAAUGGUGGAGAUUAUAACACACCUUUAGGUGACCUAUUUCUGUCCAUAGAUAUCCCUGGAGUUAAAAGUUUUUCCUAUCUUAGCCUAAACCUUUCUUGCUGCAAUGGAAGCCACUUAGGUUUUAUCCGGUCCUUGGUGUAAUGAAGAUCAAUGGGAUCCCUGCUUAGGAGAACCUUCUACAUACUGGAAGGUUGUUAUAUUACCUUCACACCUGCCAUCGGCCUUUAUUUUUUAGAGCAAAUAUAUCCUUUCCCUUUUUCAACCAUUCUCCAUCUUUUAAACCUCCUCUUAUUUUAACACCUUUUUGCACUAUCCUAUUAAACUACAUCAGACUAAGGCUUCUGAGAGGCGAGUUAAGAAAAACUAUUCCUAACCCUGUCUUGCAUAUGACACAUCUAUUAAAAUGUCCCAGGAUGAGUUUUUCUGUUUUUGCAUCCACAUCAUACUGUUGACUCGUAUUCAAUAUGUGGUUUACUGUAAUGCCCAGGUCUCUUUCUACAGUGCUCUUGCUAUCCUCUGUUUUGUAUUUAUGCAUUUGAUUUUUUCUUGCCUCAGUAUAGUACUUGGUCCUUGUGUUUAUCGAGUUUUGUCUUAUUGAUUACAGACCAGUUCUCCCAUUUAUCAAAGUCUUUUUGAAUUCUAAUCCUUCAGCUCCCUUGCAGCCCAUUCUACUUUGGCAUCAUGUGCAAAUUUGGUAAGUGUGCUCUUCCUUCCAUCAUCCACACCAUGAAUGAAAAUGUUGCAUUGUAUCAGGUAUUGACUACACCCCAGCAGAAUUCUAUAUUAUAUAUCCUUUCUGUAUGAAAACACAAUAUUGAUAAGUCUUGGAGUAUUUUCUGCAAGCAAUUGUGCACCUACUGUGUAGCAAUUUAGCCCAGACCAAAAUAUUUCUGUACACUGUCUAUGAGAAUGUCGUGUAAGACAGUGCCCAAAGACUCCCUAAGUCAAUACACAUCACUUCCACUGUCUC